GAUGAACGCUGGCGGCGUGCUUAACACAUGCAAGUCGAACGGUAAGGCCCUUCGGGGUACACGAGUGGCGAACGGGUGAGUAACACGUGGGUGAUCUGCCCUGCACUUCGGGAUAAGCCUGGGAAACUGGGUCUAAUACCGGAUAGGACCACUGCCUGCAUGGGUGGUGGUGGAAAGCUUUUGCGGUGUGGGAUGGGCCCGCGGCCUAUCAGCUUGUUGGUGGGGGGAUGGCCUACCAAGGCGACGACGGGUAGCCGGCCUGAGAGGGUGACCGGCCACACUGGGACUGAGAUACGGCCCAGACUCCUACGGGAGGCAGCAGUGAGGAAUAUUGCACAAUGGGCGCAAGCCUGAUGCAGCGACGCCGCGUGAGGGAUGACGGCCUUCGGGUUGUAAACCUCUUUCAGCACCGACGAAGCGCAAGUGACGGUAGGUGCAGAAGAAGGACCGGCCAACUACGUGCCAGCCGCCGCAGUAA
rnacentral:rRNA from 1 species